CUGUCCAUCUCCAGAAUGCUGGCUUCAGCAGGAACCAGAAACAGUGCCCCCCCCCCCAAGCCUCCUCCACAGCGCUGCUACAGCUGGAAGACCUGCUCUUCUGCGAUGGAUACUUCCCAUUCUCUAUGCUUCCUCACCUCUGGGCACAUCUCAACAAGCAAGAUCAAGCCACCAGCCUCAGGAUUCCAUUAAGAAAAGGAUUUAUUUAUUUAUAACAUGUACCUACUUAUUUUUCAAGGAAGUGGCCUUUGAAGAGGACAAAUGAAGCUGAUAAUCACUGGUGAAUCCAAAGAGCUCAUUCAGAAGUCUUUUUGCAUUGCCUUCUGCCAGCCUCCAGGACCAUACACAUGAGUGACAGCCUCUAUCUAGUGUUUGAGUAUAUAAACCUUUAAUCCAUCAAGAUGCUUCUAAAACUGAGAGAGUACCUCCACCAUGUGCCCACACCUUCCUGUACAAACCCCCUCAUCUUGGGACCCACAGAAAUGCCACCACAUUGGAAGCCAGCUGAAUAUAUUUUUCUAAUCUCAUCCAGACUUUAUGGCUAUAAUUUGGCUGCUGACACAAUUUUAAAUUAGCUUUUGCUUCAAUGAA
rnacentral:lncRNA from 1 species